rnacentral:rRNA from 1 species
UACAGAGGGUGCGAGCGUUAAUCGGAAUUACUGGGCGUAAAGCGCACGUAGGUGGCGACGUAAGUCGGGUGUGAAAGCCCCGGGCUCAACCUGGGAAUUGCAUUCGAGACUGCAUUGCUGGAGUACGGAAGAGGAGGGCGGAAUUCCCGGUGUAGCGGUGAAAUGCGUAGAGAUCGGGAGGAACACCCGCGGCGAAGGCGAGUCCCUGGACAACUCCUGACACUGAGGCACGAAAGCUAGGGGAGCAAACAGG